UCCAAACAAACUUAAUUUGGGCCAAACUAAAACUGGAAUGAUACAGAGAAGAGUAGCAUGGCNCCUGGGCAAGGAUGGCAUGCAAAUUUGUGAAGCGUUCCAUAUUUUU
rnacentral:snRNA from 1 species